AGUCGAGCGGUAACAGAUCCAGCUUGCUGGAUGCUGACGAGCGGCGGACGGGUGAGUAAUGCAUAGGAAUCUGCCCGAUAGUGGGGGAUAACCUGGGGAAACCCAGGCUAAUACCGCAUACGUCCUACGGGAGAAAGGGGGCUCCGGCUCCCGCUAUGGGAUGAGCCUAUGUCGGAUUAGCUAGUUGGUGAGGUAACGGCUCACCAAGGCCACGAUCCGUAGCUGGUCUGAGAGGAUGAUCAGCCACAUCGGGACUGAGACACGGCCCGAACUCCUACGGGAGGCAGCAGUGGGGAAUAUUGGACAAUGGGGGAAACCCUGAUCCAGCCAUGCCGCGUGUGUGAAGAAGGCCCUCGGGUUGUAAAGCACUUUCAGCGAGGAAGAACGCCUAGCGGUUAAUACCCGCUAGGAAAGACAUCACUCGCAGAAGAAGCACCGGCUAACUCCGUGCCAGCAGCCGCGGUAAUACGGAGGGUGCAAGCGUUAAUCGGAAUUACUGGGCGUAAAGCGCGCGUAGGUGGCUUGAUAAGCCGGUUGUGAAAGCCCCGGGCUCAACCUGGGAACGGCAUCCGGAACUGUCAAGCUAGAGUGCAGGAGAGGAAGGUAGAAUUCCCGGUGUAGCGGUGAAAUGCGUAGAGAUCGGGAGGAAUACCAGUGGCGAAGGCGGCCUUCUGGACUGACACUGACACUGAGGUGCGAAAGCGUGGGUAGCAAACAGGAUUAGAUACCCUGGUAGUCCACGCCGUAAACGAUGUCGACCAGCCGUUGGGUGCCUAGCGCACUUUGUGGCGAAGUUAACGCGAUAAGUCGACCGCCUGGGGAGUACGGCCGCAAGGUUAAAACUCAAAUGAAUUUGACGGGGGCCCGCACAAGCGG
rnacentral:rRNA from 1 species